rnacentral:rRNA from 1 species
GUGAGGAAUUUUCCGCAAUGGGCGAAAGCCUGACGGAGCAAUGCCGCGUGAAGGAUGAAGGCCUAUGGGUUGUAAACUUCUUUUCUCAGAAAAGAAUUAUGACGGUAUCUGAGGAAUAAGCAUCGGCUAACUCUGUGCCAGCAGCCGCGGUAAGACAGAGGAUGCAAGCGAUAUCCGGAAUGAUUGGGCGUAAAGCGUCUGUAGGUUGUUUAAAAAGUAUUCUGUCAAAGAUUAGGGCUUAACCCUAGAUAGGCAGAAUAAACUUUUAAGCUAGAGUUUGGUAGAGGCAGAGGGAAUUCCCGGUGGAGCGGUGAAAUGCGUAGAUAUCGGGAGGAACACCAAAGGCGAAGGCACUCUGCUGGGCCAAUACUAACACUGAGAGACGAAAGCGAGGGGAGCAAAUGGGAUUCGAAACCCCUGUAGUCC